rfam:Myotis davidii contig178502, whole genome shotgun sequence.
AGAACUAAAAUAUUUCAGUAGAAUAUUUAAAAGAAACUUUCCAUACAGGUGCUAACAAUGAAGCCUCUUUUGCAACCCAGAACUCAUUGCUCAGUUUGAGUUUUGAUACAUAUAAGAAGGAACAUG